AGAGUUUGAUCCUGGCUCAGGAUGAACGCUAGCGGCAGGCUUAACACAUGCAAGUCGAGGGGCAGCAUGGGGAGUAGCAAUACUCUCUGAUGGCGACCGGCGCAAGGGUGCGUAACGCGUGAGCAACUUGCCCUCAUCAGGGGAAUAAUCGCUGGAAACGGCGUCUAAUGCCCCAUGGUGAUGGAAUCAGGCAUCUGAAUCCAUCUAAAGAUUCGUCGGAUGAGGAUAGGCUCGCGUGACAUUAGCUUGACGGCGGGGUAACGGCCCACCGUGGCGACGAUGUCUAGGGGUUCUGAGAGGAAGGUCCCCCACACUGGAACUGAGACACGGUCCAGACUCCUACGGGAGGCAGCAGUGAGGAAUAUUGGUCAAUGGCCGGAAGGCUGAACCAGCCAUGCCGCGUGAAGGUCAGUGCCCUAUGGGCGUUAAACUUCUUUUGUGCGGGAGCAAUAAGGUCCACGUGUGGACCGACGAGAGUACCGUACGAAUAAGCAUCGGCUAACUCCGUGCCAGCAGCCGCGGUAAUACGGGGGAUGCAAGCGUUAUCCGGAUUUAUUGGGUUUAAAGGGUGCGUAGGCUGUGAGGUAAGUCAGCGGUGAAAUGCCCCCGCUCAACGGGGUGAAGUGCCAUUGAUACUGCCUUGCUGGAAUGCGGAUGCCGUGGGAGGAAUGUGUGGUGUAGCGGUGAAAUGCAUAGAUAUCACACAGAACACCGAUUGCGAAGGCAUCUCACGAAUCCGCGAUUGACGCUGAUGCACGAAAGCGUGGGUAUCAAACAGGAUUAGAUACCCUGGUAGUCCACGCUGUAAACGAUGAUGACUAACCGUCGGCGAUACACAGUCGGUGGCCAAGCGAAAGCGAUAAGUCAUCCACCUGGGGAGUACGGCCGCAAGGCUGAAACUCAAAGGAAUUGACGGGGGCCCGCACAAGCGGAGGAACAUGUGGUUUAA
rnacentral:rRNA from 1 species